rnacentral:lncRNA from 1 species
AUUGCAACUGUUGAAGGGUCUAAGUGUUGUACUAAUCAUCCUGAACUUGGAAAUUGUGUCCCUGGUGCGGAUGACAACCCAAACAGUGGAAAAUGCUGGACAUUUUGCACUUCAGAUUGUGAGAAAGGAGGAAUCUGCAAACUAUUUGGCGACCGUCAUCAUUGCCAUUGCUUAUGUUGAUUUUCUUUCAACCCUAUUCCAUAA